GACGAACGCUGGCGGCGUGCUUAACACAUGCAAGUCGAACGGGUCUGCCCUGUUUUUUGCGGGGUGGGUCAGUGGCGAACGGGUGAGUAACACGUGAGUAACCUGCCCCUCACUUCUGGAUAACCGCUUGAAAGGGUGGCUAAUACGGGGUGUUCUGGCUGUGCCGCAUGGUGUGGCUGGGAAAGAUUCACUUUUGUGGUGUUUUGGUGGGGGAUGGGCUCGCGGCCUAUCAGCUUGUUGGUGGGGUGAUGGCCUGCCAAGGCUUUGACGGGUAGCCGGCCUGGGAGGGUGGGCGGUCAGACGGGGACGGAGAGACGGCCAAGACUCCUGCGGGAGGCAGCAGUGGGGGGUAUUGCACAAGGGGCGGAAGCCUGAUGCAGCGACGUCGCGGGAGGGAUGGAGGCCUUCGGGUUGUGAACCUCUUUCGCCGGUGAAGAAGGUCCUGCUCUUUGUGGUGGGGUUGACGGUAGCCGGGUUAUGAAGCGCCGGCUAACUACGUG
rnacentral:rRNA from 1 species